CGCUGGUCCCCUCGCGACGACAAACCGUGAACCCCGUCAGGCCCGGAAGGGAGCAGCGGCAGCGGUGGACUCGGGCGCCGGGGUGUGGCUGGCGCUU
rnacentral:SRP_RNA from 1 species